AUGCUUGAUUUGGCAGCACAUAUACUAAAAUUGGAACGAUACAAAGCAUGGUCCCUUGCAAGGAAUACACGCAAAUUUGUGAAGCAUUCCAUAUAUUU
ensembl:snRNA U6 U6 spliceosomal RNA